rnacentral:rRNA from 1 species
GGAUUAGCGGCGGACGGGUGAGUAACACGUGAGUAACCUGCCUUAGACAUUGGGAUAGCCUCGGGAAACCGGGAUUAAUACCGAAUAAAAUCACAGAUACACAUGUAUCCAUGAUCAAAACUCCGGUGGUCUAAGAUGGACUCGCGUCCCAUUAGCUAGUUGGUGAGGUAACGGCCCACCAAGGCGACGAUGGGUAGCCGGCCUGAGAGGGUGAACGGCCACAUUGGAACUGAGAAACGGUCCAAACUCC